AUGCCGCUCUUCAGCCUGCUCUGGGUGUCCCUGGCCUUCACCUUCUCUGGAUCUGGUGUGGCACAGAGAGUUAUUCAAGACCAGCCAGACAUAUCCAGUCCACUGGGACAGUCAGUCACCCUGAACUGUCGGUAUGGAGCAACCUGGAGCUCUUACUACCUGUUUUGGUACAAGCUGCUUCCCAGUGGAGAGAUGAUUUACCUUAUUCAUCAGGUUUCUUCUGGCCAGAAUGCAAGGAAUGGCCGCUACUCUGUAAAUUUUCAGAAAGCUCGUAAAUCCAUCAGCCUCACCAUUUCGGAUUUACAGCUGGAAGAUUCUGCAGAGUAUUUCUGUGCUCUCUGGGAGCUCACAGUGCUUGAAGUAGUGGGAAUAGCUAAACAAAAACCCCAGAGUUUAAUAAAAGAGAGCUUCCCUGCUGCAGAACUCCAGCUGAAAUAUGCACCUGCAGAUCCCAGACCAGAAAUGGUAGUUGAGUGGUUGCGUAAUCUGUGGUCUGGAAGCUCCUUUUAA